rnacentral:rRNA from 1 species
AUACGGGUGGCUGCAGUGAGGAAUAUUGCACAAUGGGGGGAACCCUGAUGCAGCAACGCCGCGUGGAGGAUGACGCAUUUCGGUGUGUAAACUCCUUUUAUAUGUCAAGAAAAUGACGGUAGCAUAUGAAUAAGCACCGGCUAACUCCGUGCCAGCAGCCGCGGUAAUACGGAGGGUGCAAGCGUUACUCGGAAUCACUGGGCGUAAGGACGCGUAGGCGGGUUGGAAAGUCAGGUGUGAAAUCCUACAGCUUAACUGUAGAACUGCACUUGAAACUUCUAAUCUAGAGUAUGGGAGGGGGAGAUGGAAUUAGUGGUGUAGGGGUAAAAUCCGUAGAUAUCACUAGGAAUACCUAAAGCGAAGGCGAUCUCCUGGAACAUUACUGACGCUAAGGCGUGAAAGCGUGGGGAGCAAACAGGAUUAGAUACCCGAGUAGUC